rnacentral:rRNA from 1 species
GACGAACGCUGGCGGCGUGCUUAACACAUGCCAGUCGAACGGAAAGGCCCUGCUUUUGUGGGGUGCUCGAGUGGCGAACGGGUGAGUAACACGUGAGUAACCUGCCCUUGACUUUGGGAUAACUUCAGGAAACUGGGGCUAAUACCGGAUAGGAGCUCCUGCUGCAUGGUGGGGGUUGGAAAGUUUCGGCGGUUGGGGAUGGACUCGCGGCUUAUCAGCUUGUUGGUGGGGUAGUGGCUUACCAAGGCUUUGACGGGUAGCCGGCCUGAGAGGGUGACCGGCCACAUUGGGACUGAGAUACGGCCCAGACUCCUACGGGAGGCAGCAGUGGGGAAUAUUGCACAAUGGGCGGAAGGCUGAUGCAGCAACGCCGCGUGCGGGAUGACGGCCUUCGGGUUGUAAACCGCUUUCGCCUGUGACGAAGCGUGAGUGACGGUAAUGGGUAAAGAAGCACCGGCUAACUACGUG